GGGUCGUUAGCUCAGUUGGUAGAGCAGAGGACUUUUAAUCCUAAGGUCGGGGGUUCGAGCCCCCCACGACCCACCA
rnacentral:tRNA from 1 species